AGUCGACGAUGAAUCUUCUAGCUUGCUAGAAGUGGAUUAGUGGCGCACGGGUGAGUAAUGCAUAGGUUAUGUGCCCUUUAGUCUGGGAUAGCCACUGGAAACGGUGAUUAAUACUGGAUACUCCCUACGGGGGAAAGUUUUUCGCUAAAGGAUCAGCCUAUGUCCUAUCAGCUUGUUGGUGAGGUAAUGGCUCACCAAGGCUAUGACGGGUAUCCGGCCUGAGAGGGUGAUCGGACACACUGGAACUGAGACACGGUCCAGACUCCUACGGGAGGCAGCAGUAGGGAAUAUUGCUCAAUGGGGGAAACCCUGAAGCGGCAACGCCGCGUGGAGGAUGAAGGUUUUAGGAUUGUAAACUCCUUUUGUUAGAGAAGAUUAUGACGGUAUCUAACGAAUAAGCACCGGCUAACUCCGUGCCAGCAGCCGCGGUAAUACGGAGGGUGCAAGCGUUACUCGGAAUCACUGGGCGUAAAGAGUGCGUAGGCGGGGUAAUAAGUCAGAUGUGAAAUCCUGUAGCUUAACUACAGAACUGCAUUUGAAACUGUUACUCUGGAGUGUGGGAGAGGUAGGUGGAAUUCUUGGUGUAGGGGUAAAAUCCGUAGAGAUCAAGAGGAAUACUCAUUGCGAAGGCGACCUGCUGGAACAUUACUGACGCUGAUGCACGAAAGCGUGGGGAGCAAACAGGAUUAGAUACCCUGGUAGUCCACGCCCUAAACGAUGGAUGCUAGUUGUUGCCUUGCUUGUCAGGGCAGUAAUGCAGCUAACGCAUUAAGCAUCCCGCCUGGGGAGUACGGUCGCAAGAUUAAAACUCAAAGGAAUAGACGGGGACCCGCACAAGCGGUGGAGCAUGUGGUUUAAUUCGAAGAUACGCGAAGAACCUUACCUAGGCUUGAC
rnacentral:rRNA from 1 species